rnacentral:rRNA from 1 species
AACGGGGGGGGCUAGCGUUAUUCGUCGUUAUUGGGCGUAAAGCGCACGUAGGCGGCUUCGUAAGUUAGAGGUGAAAGCCCGGGGCUCAACUCCGGAAUUGCCUUUAAGACUGCAUCGCUAGAAUUGUGGAGAGGUAAGUGGAAUUCCGAGUGUAGAGGUGAAAUUCGUAGAUAUUCGGAAGAACACCAGUGGCGAAGGCGACUUACUGGACACAUAUUGACGCUGAGGUGCGAAAGCGUGGGGAGCAAACAGG